UAACUGAAAGAUGGUUUUGCUAUCACUUAUAGAUGGACCCGCGCCGUAUUAGCUAGUUGGUAAGGUAACGGCUUACCAAGGCGACGAUACGUAGCCGACCUGAGAGGGUGAUCGGCCACACUGGAACUGAGACACGGUCCAGACUCCUACGGGAGGCAGCAGUAGGGAAUCUUCCGCAAUGGGCGAAAGCCUGACGGAGCAACGCCGCGUGAGUGAUGAAGGUCUUCGGAUCGUAAAACUCUGUUAUUAGGGAAGAACAUACGUGUAAGUAACUGUGCACGUCUUGACGGUACCUAAUCAGAAAGCCACGGCUAACUACGUGCCAGCAGCCGCGGUAAUACGUAGGUGGCAAGCGUUAUCCGGAAUUAUUGGGCGUAAAGCGCGCGUAGGCGGUUUUUUAAGUCUGAUGUGAAAGCCCACGGCUCAACCGUGGAGGGUCAUUGGAAACUGGAAAACUUGAGUGCAGAAGAGGAAAGUGGAAUUCCAUGUGUAGCGGUGAAAUGCGCAGAGAUAUGGAGGAACACCAGUGGCGAAGGCGACUUUUCUGGUCUGUAACUGACGCUGAUGUGCGAAAGCGUGGGGAUCAAACAGGAUUAGAUACCCUGGUAGUCCACGCCGUAAACGAUGAGUGCUAAGUGUUAGGGGUUU
rnacentral:rRNA from 1 species